rnacentral:rRNA from 1 species
GACGAACGCUGGCGGCGUGCUUAACACAUGCAAGUCGAACGGAAAGGCCUGCUUUCCCUUGUGGAUUGCGGGUACUCGAGUGGCGAACGGGUGAGUAACACGUGAGUGAUCUGCCCCCAACUUGGGUAUAAGCCUGGGAAACUGGGUCUAAUUCCCGAUAGGACUGCAGGGUGGUGCCUGUGGUGGAAAACGAUUUUCUAGUGGUUGGGGAUGAGCUCGCGGCCUAUCAGCUUGUUGGUGGGGUAAUGGCCUACCAAGGCGGCGACGGGUAGCCGGCCUGAGGGGGUGGACGGCCACAUUGGGACUGAGAUACAGCCCAGACUCCUACGGGAGGCAGCAGUGGGGAAUAUUGCACAAUGGGCGGAAGCCUGAUGCAGCGACGCCGCGUGGGGGAUGACGGCCUUCGGGUUGUAAACUCCUUUCGACCGCGAGGAAGCCACCUGGUUGGAAGGGUGGUGACGGUAGUGGUAGAAGAAGCACCGGCUAACUACGUG